GAAAUGCGAUAAGUAGUGUGAAUUGCAGAAUUCAGUGAAUCAUCGAAUCUUUGAACGCACAUUGCGCCCCUUGGUAUUCCAUGGGGCAUGCCUGUUCGAGCGUCAUCUACACCCUCAAGCUCUGCUUGGUGUUGGGCGUCUGUCCCCGCCUCCGUGCGGAGACUCGCCUCAAAUUCAUUGGCAGCGGUCCUUGCCUCCUCUCGCGCAGCACAAUUGCUCUCGAGGUGUCGCGGCCCGCGUCCACGAAGCUGUUUUACACCGUCUUUGACCUCGGAUCAGGUAGGGAUACCCGCUGAACUUAA
rnacentral:misc_RNA from 1 species